rnacentral:rRNA from 1 species
GACAGAGGGUACAAACGUUGUUCGGAAUUACUGGGCGUAAAGCGUGUGUAGGCGGCCACGUAAGUCGGAUGUGAAAGCCCCGGGCUCAACCCGGGAAGUGCACUCGAUACUGCGUGGCUUGAGUACUGGAGAGGUUGGUGGAAUUCUCGGUGUAGAGGUGAAAUUCGUAGAUAUCGAGAGGAACACCGGUGGCGAAGGCAGCUUGCUGGGCCAGUUCUGACGCUGAGGAGCGAAAGCGUGGGGAGCGAACAGG